CAAGUUACUCAGGUGACUAAUUUUUUCUUGGUACACAUUCACCAAAAUUUUAUACUUGAAGCCAAAUAGUAAAUAACUUUAGGAGUAGAGAGUAAUACCUAGCAGAAGUUAUUUUCUUUAUGUCAAAGAAAAGUAAUAGAAGCAAACCAGGCUUACGACCCCUGUUAAGGAGAUGAUUGUUUAAAGCACUACAGUUCAUGCACUUUUUAAAGCAGGAGAAUGAACC
rnacentral:lncRNA from 1 species